rnacentral:rRNA from 1 species
GUAAUAGCUCACUGGUCGAGUCGGCCUGCGCGGAAGAUGUAACGGGGCUAAACCAUGCACCGAAGCUGCGGCAGCGACGCUUAUGCGUUGUUGGGUAGGGGAGCGUUCUGUAAGCCUGUGAAGGUGGCCUGUGAGGGUUGCUGGAGGUAUCAGAAGUGCGAAUGCUGACAUAAGUAACGAUAAAGCGGGUGAAAAGCCCGCUCGCCGGAAGACCAAGGGUUCCUGUCCAACGUUAAUCGGGGCAGGGUGAGUCGACCCCUAAGGCGAGGCCGAAAGGCGUAGUCGAUGGGAAACGGGUUAAUAUUCCCGUACUUGGUGUUACUGCGAAGGGGGGACGGAGAAGGCUAUGUUGGCCGGGCGACGGUUGUCCCGGUUUAAGCGUGUAGGUGUGUGUUCCAGGUAAAUCCGGUUCACUUUAACACUGAGGCGUGACGACGAGGCACUACGGUGCUGAAGCAACAAAUGCCCUGCUUCCAGGAAAAGCCUCUAAGCAUCAGGUAACAUCAAAUC